rnacentral:tRNA from 1 species
GUUCAUGUCGCUUAAACAUAAAGCAAGGCACUGAAAAUGCCUAGAUGAGUACCUAGUACUCCAUAAACA